rnacentral:rRNA from 1 species
GAUGAACGCUGGCGGCGUGCUUAACACAUGCAAGUCGAACGAUGAAGCCCAGCUUGCUGGGUGGAUUAGUGGCGAACGGGUGAGUAACACGUGAGUAACCUGCCCUUAACUCUGGGAUAAGCCUGGGAAACUGGGUCUAAUACCGGAUAGGAGCGUCCACCGCAUGGUGGGUGUUGGAAAGAUUUAUCGGUUUUGGAUGGACUCGCGGCCUAUCAGCUUGUUGGUGAGGUAAUGGCUCACCAAGGCGACGACGGGUAGCCGGCCUGAGAGGGUGACCGGCCACACUGGGACUGAGACACGGCCCAGAUUCCUACGGGAGGCAGCAGUGGGGAAUAUUGCACAAUGGGCGCAAGCCUGAUGCAGCGACGCCGCGUGAGGGAUGACGGCCUUCGGGUUGUAAACCUCUUUCAGUAGGGAAGAAGCGAAAGUGACGGUACCUGCAGAAGAAGCACCGGCUAACUACGUG